rnacentral:lncRNA from 1 species
AGGUGGCGACAGACAAAGUUGCAGAAAAGCUGAGCUCUACUCUCUCAUGGGUGAAGAACACAGUAUCGCAUACAGUCAGUCAGAUGGCCAGUCAGGUGGCAAGUCCAUCUACUUCAUUACAUACCACAUCCUCAUCUACCACACUAUCAACACCAGCCCUUUCACCAUCUUCCCCAUCACAGUUGAGUCCAGACGACUUAGAACUCCUGGCUAAACUGGAAGAACAGAAUAGAUUGUUAGAAACGGAUAGUAAGUCUUUAAGAUCUGUAAAUGGGUCAAGAAGAAACAGUGGCUCUUCUCUUGUGUCGAGUUCAUCAGCCUCUAGCAACCUCAGUCACCUUGAAGAAGAUUCUUGGAUUCUUUGGGGAAGAAUUGUUAAUGAAUGGGAAG